rnacentral:rRNA from 1 species
UACGUAGGGGGCAAGCGUUGUCCGGAUUUAUUGGGCGUAAAGAGCGUGUAGGCGGCUAGGUAGGUCCAUUGUGAAAACUCGAGGCUCAACCUCGAGACGUCGGUGGAAACCAUCUAGCUAGAGUCCGGAAGAGGAGAGUGGAAUUCCCGGUGUAGCGGUGAAAUGCGCAGAUAUCGGGAGGAACACCCGUGGCGAAGGCGGCUUGCUGGGCUUGGUCUGACGCUGAGGCGCGAAAGCGUGGGGAGCGAACAGG